AAAAAGUUGAGGACUGAGGAGAGAUGAUGUACAACAUGUCCCAUUAGGGGCACUGGUUUAUGGAACAGUUGAUUGGAAAAGGUUAGAGAUAAACAUAAAUACAAGCUGAUUUAUUGACAUCGAUUGUCUCCAUAUUGAUUGAGAAUUAUGUGCGUAGCUUUGUUGCAACUAAUCAACUUAGUUCAGGCUCAGUGAAGUGAUAAUCAUGUUGUCUUGACAAAGCUCGAGCAUAACUUGAA
rnacentral:misc_RNA from 1 species